CCUACGGGUGGCAGCAGUCGAGAAUCAUUCACAAUGGGGGAAACCCUGAUGGUGCGACGCCGCGUGGGGGAAUGAAGGUCUUCGGAUUGUAAACCCCUGUCAUGUGGGAGCAAAUUAAAAAGAUAGUACCACAAGAGGAAGAGACGGCUAACUCUGUGCCAGCAGCCGCGGUAAUACAGAGGUGUCAAGCGUUGUUCGGAAUCACUGGGCGUAAAGCGUGUGUAGGCUGUUUCGUAAGUCGUGUGUGAAAUGCGCGGUCUCAAACCGCGGAGGGCACAUGAUACUGGGAGACUAGAGUAAGGGAGAGGGAAGCGGAAUUCUAGGUGUAGCAGUGAAAUGCGUAGAUAUCGGGAAGAAC
rnacentral:rRNA from 1 species